GCAAGCCUGAAGCAAACAUGCCCUGUGUGAGAAGAAGGCCCUAGGGUUGUAAAGCACUUUCAGCGAGGAGGAAAGGUUAUAGUUUAAUAGACUAUAGCUGUGACGUUACUCGCAGAAGAAGCACCGGCUAACUUCGUGCCAGCAGCCGCGGUAAUACGAGGGGUGCAAGCGUUAAUCGGAAUUACUGGGCGUAAAGCGUACGCAAACGGUUUGUUAAGCGAGAUGUGAAAGCCCCGGGCUCAACCUGGGAACUGCAUUUCGAACUGGCUGACUAUAGUAUGAUAGAGGGUGGUAGAAUUUCAGGUGUAUCGGUGAAAUGCGUAGAAAUCUGAAGGAAUACCGAUGGCGAACGCAGCCACCUGGGUCAAUACUGACGCUCAUGUACGAAAGCGUGGGGAGCAAACGGGAUUAGAUACCCCGGUAGUCCACGCCGUAAACGAUGUCUACUAAGAGCUGGAAUUCUUCGGAUGACUUUUCGAAAGCUAACGCAUUAAGUAGACCGCCUGGGGAGGUACGGCCGCAAGGUUUAAACUCAAAAUAA
rnacentral:rRNA from 1 species